UACGUAGGGUGCGAGCGUUGUCCGGAUUUACUGGGCGUAAAGGGCGCGCAGGCGGCUCAUUUUGUCAGGCGUGAAAGCCCCGGGCUUAACCUGGGAACUGCGUUUGAUACGGAUGGGCUAGAGUUCGGGAGAGGAGAGUGGAAUUCCCAGUGUAGAGGUGAAAUUCGUAGAUAUUGGGAAGAACACCGGUGGCGAAGGCGGCUCUCUGGACCGAGACUGACGCUGAGGCGCGAAAGCGUGGGGAGCAAACAGG
rnacentral:rRNA from 1 species